ACUACGGGGGGCAGCAGUGAGGAAUAUUGGUCAAUGGGAGGAAUCCUGAACCAGCCAUGCCGCGUGCAGGACGACGGCUCUACGAGUUGUAAACUGCUUUUGUACAGGGGUAAAAUGCUCUACGAGUAGGGUUUUGAAAGUACGGUACGAAUAAGGAUCGGCUAACUCCGUGCCAGCAGCCGCGGUAAUACGGAGGAUCCUAGCGUUAUCCGGAUUUAUUGGGUUUAAAGGGUGCGUAGGUGGUUUUAUAAGUUAGCGGUGAAAUACCGAGGCUAAACAUGGGGGCUGCCGUUGAUACUGUAGGUCUAGAGAGCAGAUGCGGUAGGCGGAAUGUGUAGUGUAGCGGUGAAAUGCAUAGAGAUUACACAGAACACCGAUUGCGAAGGCAGCUUGCUAGGCCGGAUCUGACACUGAUGCACGAAAGCGUGGGGAUCGAACAGGAUUAGAUACCCGAGUAGUC
rnacentral:rRNA from 1 species